rnacentral:rRNA from 1 species
AUUGAACGCUGGCGGCAUGCCUUACACAUGCAAGUCGAACGGCAGCGCGGGGCAACCUGGCGGCGAGUGGCGAACGGGUGAGUAAUAUAUCGGAACAUGCCCAGAAGUGGGGGAUAACGUAGCGAAGUUACGCUAAUACCGCAUACGAUCUACGGAUGAAAGUGGGGGACCGCAAGGCCUCAUGCUUUUGGAGUGGCCGAUAUCUGAUUAGCUAGUUGGUGGGGUAAAGGCCCUACCAAGGCGACGAUCAGUAGCUGGUCUGAGAGGACGACCAGCCACACUGGAACUGAGACACGGUCCAGACUCCUACGGGAGGCAGCAGUGGGGAAUUUUUGGACAAAUGGGGGGCAACCCUGAUCCAGCAAUGCCGCGUGUGUGAAGAAGGCCUUCGG